GUUUUUCUUAUCUUUUGUUGCUUUUCUCUCGGGAUUAGUGACUCUGGGUAGAUUUGAGAUAUGAAUGCGUGCAUUCUCUCUUGAAAUUGAUUGCUGCCUUUGAUGGUGACUUUUUGUGUUUGAAUAGAACUUUGUUCUCGAUUACGCUUAGAGGAGCUGUCGUUUUGGUAGUCCAUAACCUUGAGGCUUUUCUUUGAAGAGUCUGAA
rnacentral:misc_RNA from 1 species